GACGAACGCUGGCGGCGUGCUUAACACAUGCAAGUCGAACGGAAAGGCCUGCUUUCCCUUGUGGAUUGCGGGUACUCGAGUGGCGAACGGGUGAGUAACACGUGAGUGAUCUGCCCCCAACUUGGGUAUAAGCCUGGGAAACUGGGUCUAAUUCCCGAUAGGACUGCAGGGUGGUGCCUGUGGUGGAAAACGAUUUUCUAGUGGUUGGGGAUGAGCUCGCGGCCUAUCAGCUUGUUGGUGGGGUAAUGGCCUACCAAGGCGGCGACGGAUAGCCGGCCUGGGAGGGUGGACGGGCACAUUGGGAACGAGGUACGGGCCAGAAUCCCACGGGGGGCAGGAGGGGGGAAUAAUGGCAAAGGGGGGGAAGCCUGAAGGAGGCACCGCGGCGGGGGGAUGGACGGCCUCGGGGUGUAAACCUCCUUUGGACGCGGGGAAGCCAACCGGGUUGAAAGGGUGUGAAGGUAGUUGGAGAAGGAGAACCGGGUAAAUACGGG
rnacentral:rRNA from 1 species